rnacentral:rRNA from 1 species
CCUACGGGCUGCACCAGUGGGGAAUUUUGGACAAUGGGUGCAAGCCUGAUCCAGCAAUGCCGCGUGAGUGAAGAAGGCCUUCGGGUUGUAAAGCUCUUUUGUCAGGGAAGAAACGGCUGCGGCUAAUAUCUGCGGCUAAUGACGGUACCUGAAGAAUAAGCACCGGCUAACUACGUGCCAGCAGCCGCGGUAAUACGUAGGGUGCAAGCGUUAAUCGGAAUUACUGGGCGUAAAGCGUGCGCAGGCGGUUUAGUAAGUCUGACGUGAAAUCCCCGGGCUCAACCUGGGAAUUGCGUUGGAGACUGCAAGGCUGGAGUCUGGCAGAGGGGGGUAGAAUUCCACGUGUAGCAGUGAAAUGCGUAGAGAUGCGGAGGAACACCGAUGGCGAAGGCAGCCCCCUGGGUCAAGACUGACGCUCAUGCACGAAAGCGUGGGGAGCAAACAGGAUUAGAUACCCCUGUAGUC